AGCGUGAGCCAUUUAGCAAAGAAGAAGUGGAAGUCAGGGAGGCUACAUAAAAAUGCACAUCGACCUAUUAAAUAUCCAUGAAUCAUUUACUUUAAACCCCACAAUCAUCCGCUCUUUUGUCGUUGUCAGUCACAUAAAACCUCAAGGUUCCCGACAUCUCGCUAUAUCACCAAAGAGCUGAAAUCUCAUGACACCAGGCAUAUCCUUCCCCUGAGUCACAUGAAUAGCUUCAUUGUGCAACGGCCUCCCUCCGAUCAGACUUCCCGUUGGCUUUUCGUUCAGCCGGCCUUAAGACAGUCCAGCUGCUGUGGCACCUCGUUGGAGCAAAUUAGAGGCAAACUGGUGGGAAGUGACUACUGCUUACAAACAUCUGCCCUGGAAGUCUGAGGAAGGAUCUGGGAGAGAUUUGUCCGAGCGUGAGGAAAAGCAGCCGCUCAGUUCCUCCAGAACCUUGUCUGUGCUGAAGACCAGGAUGGCGAGUUGUGGCUCGUGUUUCUGGUGCAUCAUUUGGCUGGUGGUACUGCUGUUCAUUGGCUGGCCAAUCAGCAUCACCUUAGGCGGUCUCUAUGGUCUCAUCAGCCCCCUCACCACCUGCCUCGGCCUUGAUCGACUUUCUGACUUACUGCUGGAGGGGGCCAACGUAGGCCGGACCUGUGCCAACAACAUGAGGCAUUGCAAGCCUUUGUGCUGAGAGUCACCCUGAGUGAUCAGGACCUGAUCACACAGGGGGAUCACACAGGGGGUCACUCCUGUUCUGUAGCGACAAAGCUUCUUCACAGAGAUAGGAGCCGAUGGUGUCUGUUUUAUUUUUGUAACGAGUGGCAUUUGACAAUCUGGCAUUCUGUCUUGUAACCUCUGCGACCAAAAAAGUUUGAACGCUGGUUUCCACCUCUGCUGUUAACACCUAAUUAACCUCGGAUUUCAGUUUGGUGCGCAAGAAAAUAGGCUUUGCAUUCAUGGUCCAAGCUCUCUGUAUAAUUCACGGUGACGCUGCAUGCGGAAGAUAAGAAUGAAAAUGGCAUUUUAACAAUAGAACUGUUUAGACUUGUAAAGCACUGCACUGAAACCUAGAAUGCGAUUAAAACUGCUUUAAGCUCGUCCUCUGUGGUUGCUGAUUGACUCGUACUGUGUGCUGUUUAAUUAGGAAGCAAACAGAAAAAGAAUGUGACAGUUUUAAUUCUUAUAACACACAUGCUGUGUUUAAAUAAUUAAUUUAUUCAAUUCAGUUCCAAUACUAGAAUACUUUACUAAUCGAGAAGGAAAAUCAUAGUUCUUGUAACAUUGUUUUUAUAGAUAGAUGCCUGUAGGUAGUGAGAAUCUUCUCUAGUGAUCAGUACUACAUCAAUUCUUAAAAAAGCCUCUGACUGAAAACCCCUUGUUGUUACAUCACGGCCUCAUAAAGAACAUACUCGGGGUUGACGUAAUGUUCAUUUCAUGAAGAAUUCAUCUCUGCGCAAUUAUCUCCAGAGGUUCUACAGCCGUCCUCCGAACAGAGCAAUUCUUCUUUAUCAGCUUGUUGAGCUUUUUGAGGUCACUGGCUCUGAUGCUGCUACCGCAACAGAUGAUGAUAGAGGAGAUGACACCAUCCACAACAGUCUAAUAGAUCUGCAGCAUCUUACUGAAAACACUGAAGGAUCUAACCUUCUGGAAGAUCACUGCAGUCUGCUCUUCCCCUACUGCUACAGCAGCAGCACCAAAAUAAAACGUUUUUAAGACCACUGAGGGAAAAGAAGUCUAACUCUGCUUUGCGUAUAUAUGAGUUGAUGGCAUGCUAUACAUCCAAAUAUCUAACCAAGAAUCAAGCUGAUCAGAUGGCACUACAAGACUCCCAUUUUCACAUAGAUUAUAGGUGUUAGGUGUUUGUGCCAGACUUUGACCCUGAUGACCCCAUGAUGGAUGCUAAGGUGACAGCCAACGACAGAAUGGUUUCAUAUUGCAUAUGUGACAGUUGCAAAAUUACCGAAUGCUGUAUUCUUAAUUAAUUUAAAGGCUCAACAUAAAUCCUGAAAACCUUUUUCUCUUUCUGACUGCAUUGCAGAGUGAUACGAUUUCUUCUGUCACUUCCUCCCUCUGAUGUAGACUAAAUGGUGGCGAUGGUAGAAGCUGCACUGAAAUAUCACCGUCUGCCUUAUCGGGUUCUUUGCUGGUGAAGGUCCAGCAAUGAACCACAUACACCGACACAGAUGUCUGACAUGAGCUGCAAAGUGGCUCUUCUAACAUUCAGAAGCACAAACAAAGUCGCUGAAAUCUCACUAACACAAAGGGGGAGAAAGCUAUUAAACUUGAAGAGUAAACUGAAGACUUUCCAGUAAAAUUUCAAAGGGCAAGCUAUAGAGUUGGGACCCAAACGGGAUAUCUUUCAAAGCACACACACAUCAUAACAUCUUUUAAUGUUAUUUUAGGAAUUAACUAAUUCAUGCUCAGUCCAUGGCUAAUGGUUUGGUUCACAUAUCCCAGCUUCCAUCUUUUAAGGGGAAACUUCUUGAAAGCAAACUGAGUGCUUCCAAUAAAACGAAAGCUUGAAAGCAGUUAAAAGUUCUUGGGCUUUUGGGACUAAAGUUUUGACAGUCUGGGUUCUUCUAAGUAACCCAGACGUUACAGUUCCUCGGAACUGUAACGUCAAUUAAUCCUCCGUCUGCUUCCGUCUGUCUCCUGUUUCUGCGUGUUCACAUUCAUCCAGUCUUAAGUUCUCACAAAAAAUAUUAUAUGCGAGUUAUUGUAGUGGGCGGGAGGGUGGCGACGGACGGUCGGAUGGACGGACGGAUUGAUCGAUUUGCUUGGUAGAUUUUUUAUUUAUUUAUUUAUUUAUUUAUUUAUUUAUUUGCUACAGAAUUGAGUUUAUGAACAUGUUUAGACACCACCAAAAUUCUUCAUCACUUAGCAAUGCAGAUUCCUGUAUUGAUAUUGCAAAAAGAAAUAUUAACAUGGCUACCGCUAAUAUGUUGUUCCUAAUUGCAUCAGCAACAUGUUAGCCAUUUCCUUGAUUGAAAGAGCUUCUUUAAAGUAAAGUUGGAAAUGCUUUACUGAUCUGUUUUCUUAUUGAUAUCAGCUCAUGUGUGUGAUGCUGACUGACUUUCAGAACAGCUUUCCUGAAGCCAAGAAAGCUGCAAAAUUGCCUCAGCAAUAUCAUGAGAAUUACAGAUUUUCUUUUUUUCUUCUGCUGCAGAGGCUCACUCAAACACACUGACAGUAUUGCUGCACAUAUUAGAGCAAAAGUCUGUUUAACUGUAUUUGUCAAGGCGAGGUGUGAGGGUACUUUGCUUAACAACUUAGAAGCUGUCUUAAUAUUUUGACUGGCAUCACCACAGCCUGAGUCAGGACCAAAAUAGCUCCGGAUACCGUCCUCAGAAACCCCCAUAAAUACUCUCUCAAAUAAUCUUACUGAGCUGCCUACCUGCAAAUCUGCCAGUGUUGUAGCUUAUUCAAAUGUACCCACAUGAAUAUUUCAUUUUCAUUUCAAACUGCUUUUCAUCAUAAUUUCAGAUUCCUUAUUGUUGACUGAAACACAGCGUCAGAACCUCACUCUUACUUCAAAAUGCAUGCUGAGAUGAAUUUACUAUAAAAAAAAUAAAUAAAAGGAGGUGAAGACCCUAGUGUGUGUUGUAAUAUUUACAGAAGUGCCAUGUGAGACCUAAUUAGAUAGCAUUUUUAUAUACUACCCGGAUUUGCUCCUAAAUAUCCUGAAGUGAGAACCCCGCUCGCCAGAAAAAGUAAAAAAAAAAAAAGAAUAAAAUAAAAUAGCCCAGUUUUUAAACUACUUUGUCUGUUUUUCCUCCCAAAAGCCUUUGCAGAGGGCACAGGAGGGAGGCCUUCGAGCCAAGAUGACAGCACCGAACUGAGAGAAUUAAAGAGAGGCAAGCUGGUAAAUUUUUCAUCAAAGUCUGAAACUGACCAUGAAAAAGGUUUGACGCUGUCCUGGCUGCGAGGAGACCUCAGAGGCAGAGCGAAGGAACGACAAGAGUAGAUCUCCCCUUUCAAUUAGCCACAUGCUGCUCAGAAACCUCACCCCAUUACAUUCACAAGCCAUCGCCAAAGAGUUUGGAGCAACACAAGUGUCACGAAGCUGGACAAGCCUGAACUCCUCUGGGUAUUGGAUUGUUGGAAGGUGAAAAAAAAGAAAAGAAAAAAAGGUAUUGGACUGGGAGUAGGAGUGGUCUUUUUCCUGAAAUGUAUCUAUUUCAUAAUUCCACACGGCAUAUCUAGGAGGGACUUAAUACAAAAUGCAUGCUGCACUUUUCAGAUUUUUAGUUUGUAUGCUUUUCCUCUCGCCGUACAGUUGUUUCUGCCACGUAAUCCCAAUAAAAUACUUUAAAAACUGUGUCUGCAAUGUGACAUCUCAUCUAAAACCAGCUCUCCUUUACUCAUGUGGACAACAAAAAAAUGUGUGUGGCAUAUCUGAAUGAGCAUCAAAACAUAAACACCAUGCAUUCAUUUGAAAACGAACCUCGCUUUCCCUGCAGUUAGCGAUAGCAUUGCUGUACACGUCAAUGUUUGCGGAGCGAUGUGAGCCUCGUACUCCUUUGAGGUACCUCAUGCAAGACUUUAGGAAAAACCAACAGCUUGUCACUCAUUAUUUAUUGUAGCAACAAGAACAAGGGAGCCCAGUUUCCACAGAGCGUGUUCCAUGCCUUCCAUCUGCUCUGACCUUUAAAUGCCCCCAAACCAUCACAAAUGAAGCAGACAAGUUGAAAUAAUCAUAAUAAAAAAUAAAAAAAAAGAAAAUCCUUACAGAACAUUAGUAUUGAGUGAGUUUUUGAUGGACAACGUAAAUGCCACCGUCUGGUACAGGCACAUUCCAAUAUGUCUGCAUGUUAUUGACUGGAGCACAAAGCCUUGCAAAUGACUUCCCCUCGGGGUUCUUGGAAUGGCUUUUUUUUCCCUCUGAUUAAGACGCGAAAUUCCCAUAGACAAUCAAUAUGCUUUUUGUUUUCGACAGUUUGUUCCUUAUUAUCUCAUCUCCUCUGCUGAGUAAUGAAGCUGAUCUCCCGAGGGCUCGUGAGUGGUAGAGCGAUUGUGCCACAGUGAUUUAAUCUCGGUAGCAAACGAUAGAGUGAAAGUCACACUACGAGACGAUCUGAGCAACCCUCUAGAAACCUCUGAGCUCAACACAGGCAGUUUCACACCUCUGUUGUCCACUGGGAACAGAAAGACAUUUUCUGACAAUAUGCCCUUUUUGUUUUCUUGUGUCUGUUAUUGUUUUUAUUGUGCAAUUUGAAUGUUAAAAUCUGCAGAAAAUGCCAAAUCAAUUGUCCUUUUUAGCUUUCACAAUAAACACAAUAACAAGUUAAAAGACAGUUUCUCUCCAUACGUAGCCCUACAUGAUCUAUGGU